AGAGUUUGAUCAUGGCUCAGGAUGAACGCUGGCGGCGUGCCUAACACAUGCAAGUCGAGCGAUCUUCUUCGGAAGAGAGCGGCGGACGGGUGAGUAACGUGUGGGUAACCUGCCUCAUACACAUGGAUAACAUACCGAAAGGUAUGCUAAUACAAGAUGAUAUAAGAGAUUCGCAUGGAUUUCUUAUCAAAGCCCGGCGGUAUGAGAUGGACCCGCGUCUGAUUAGCUAGUUGGUAAGGUAAUGGCUUACCAAGGCGACGAUCAGUAGCCGACCUGAGAGGGUGACCGGCCACAUUGGAACUGAGACACGGUCCAAACUCCUACGGGAGGCAGCAGUGGGGAAUAUUGCACAAUGGGCGAAAGCCUGAUGCAGCAACGCCGCGUGAGCGAUGAAGGCCUUCGGGUCGUAAAGCUCUGUCCUCAAGGAAGAUAAUGACGGUACUUGAGGAGGAAGCCCCGGCUAACUACGUG
rnacentral:rRNA from 1 species